rnacentral:lncRNA from 1 species
UCACUGUGUUAGCACGACACACCCACGUUCACAGCAGCAUAGAUCACAUGACUCAGUCACUGCCGUGCUGGGCAUGAAGGCCAAGGCCCUGAACUGCAGGCCCCUGCAUUGACUCUGGGACUGAGAGGCGGUGGCGCCUUCCCAACACCCGUCACCCCGGCAACCACACUGGACCGUGUCGUCAGCACGCUGCCGGGGCCCUGAGCCUGCCCAGCCUCACACAGCUUCCCACCACACAAACCCACGGAGCGGAGCAUGGCGGGAUUCCUGCUCGGGAGGCGAUGCUGGCCGUACAGGCAGCUCCUCCAUUUCGCUGUCUGGAGAUUCUAACUGCAGUUCGCCUUUCUCUCUCUGUUAACCUCGAGCCGGGUUCUCUGGAAGAUGAACACAAUUACAGUUGACAUCUUCUGUCUAUGUUCAAGCUGCCUGUGACCCAGCUGCCCAAAGGAGAAUUAAAAGUGUUCAGCGGAGAGAAAAUGGAGCUCAAAAUCAUUGCAUUUCUUCCUUUGAAAGGCAUUUUCACCUCUUUGCCCAAAAGGUAAUGGAGGUUAUUGGUUAAUUGAAAACAAACCUUGUUGCCAUUAGAACUGGCUGAAUUUGCCUUUUGUUCAUGAACCACUUGAUAUAUCAUCAAACUGACUGAUUUUCCACACCAGUUCAGGCAAUGGAUAUAAAAUGCUUAGAAUAGGAGCAUCACAUAAAC